GAUGAACGCUGGCGGCGCGCCUAACACAUGCAAGUCGAACGUGAAGCACACCUUCGGGUGUGUGGAAAGUGGCGAACGGCUGAGUAACACGUGGGCAACCUGCCCCUCACAUCGGGACAGCCUCGGGAAACCGGGAUUAAUACCGAAUACUCCGAUCACACCACAUGGUGAGUUCGGGAAAGCUCCGGCGGUGAGGGAUGGGCCCGCGGCCUGUUAGCUUGUUGGUGGGGUAACGGCCUACCAAGGCGAUGAUGGGUAGCUGGGUUGAGAGACCGACCAGCCAGAUUGGGACUGAGACACGGCCCAGACUCC
rnacentral:rRNA from 1 species